CAUCACUUAUCCAUGCAAUAGUAGGGAGACACAUGAUUGGUGGGCUAUAUAUAAAACUAAAGCUAAGAAUUUCUUUAAUAUCCGUUUAGCAGAUACAGGUGAUGACAAUAUAUUUUCAGAUAUUGAUGUGUAUCAAGAGGAUGAUAUUGCAAAUCCAUUUGUAGUUCCGGCUAAUGAAGAACUUGACACGCUUAUUUGCAAGUUGAUUUCUCUCAAUUUGAAAUACUAGAUGAUGACGAGAUACAUAAGUUACAAUAAAGACUAAAAGAAGUGGUAGUAGAAGAGGAAGAGGAAGAGGAAGAAGAAGAGGAGAAUGAAGAGGAUGCAGAGGAUGAGGAAGAAGAAGAAUUUGAAAACGAUGAUGAGUCUAGU
rnacentral:lncRNA from 1 species